UACGAAGGGGGCUAGCGUUGCUCGGAAUUACUGGGCGUAAAGCGCACGUAGGCGGCUUGUUAAGUCAGGGGUGAAAUCCUGGAGCUCAACUCCAGAACUGCCUUUGAUACUGGCGAGCUUGAGUUCGGGAGAGGUGAGUGGAACUGCGAGUGUAGAGGUGAAAUUCGUAGAUAUUCGCAAGAACACCAGUGGCGAAGGCGGCUCACUGGCCCGAUACUGACGCUGAGGCGCGAAAGCGUGGGGAGCAACAGGG
rnacentral:rRNA from 1 species